rnacentral:lncRNA from 1 species
UGCAUAUUUACAGAUAUAUCACUGUUUAUUUAUGUAGAUAUGUCUUAACAAUCAUAUAUUUAUUUUUUUAAGCUUUUACAUUUGGACAUUGUUUUAUUGCUGCAUAAAAAUAUAUUUUUUUGUCUUAUUCUAUCACUUCACUGUCAGAGGAAAGUUUAGUGAAGUGGAGUUUAAAGCUUUUUUCUCAAAUUUUUUAAGGAAAUAUGGGUUUCAGAGGGAAUUUGGUCAUGUGAGAUCUUCCACAGCAGCCUGACUGCAGGAGGACUUUUCCUUCAUUAAAGGAGCGAUUUGGUUCCUGCGUUAAAAUGAAACCAGCAGAGUCUUUAUGCAAAACUCCAGGAACCAGGAGGAAGGACGGAGGGAAUUUCUGCCCAGCUGAAGGUUUGAUCAAGUCUGAUCUGAGGAGACAAAAAGCCAACCAGAUCGCCAAAGAAGAAGCAGAGAGGCAGAUGUCGGGUCAGGACUAUGGAGCCACGGCCCUCCUCGCCCAGACGCAGCCCGCUUCCUCUCAACCCUGA